rnacentral:rRNA from 1 species
UGGCUCAGAUUGAACGCUGGCGGCAGGCCUAACACAUGCAAGUCGAGCGGUAGAGAGAAGCUUGCUUCUCUUGAGAGCGGCGGACGGGUGAGUAAUGCCUAGGAAUCUGCUCUGGUAGUGGGGGAUAACGUUCGGAAACGAACGCUAAUACCGCAUACGUCCUACGGGAGAAAGCAGGGGACCUUCGGCCUUGCGCUAUCAGAUGAGCCUAGGUCGGAUUAGCUAGUUGGUGAGGUAAUGGCUCACCAAGGCGACGAUCCGUAACUGGUCUGAGAGGAUGAUCAGUCACACUGGAACUGAGACACGGUCCAGACUCCUACAGGGAGGCAGCAGUGGGGAAUAUUGGACAAUGGGCGAAAGCCUGAUCCAGCCAUGCCGCGUGUGUGAAGAAGGUCUUCGGAUUGUAAAGCACUUUAAGUUGGGAGGAAGGGCAUUAACCUAAUACGUUAGUGUUUUGACGUACC